GAUGAACGCUGGCGGCGUGCCUAAUACAUGCAAGUCGAGCGAACGGACGAGAAUCUUGCUUCUCUUAUGUUAGCGGCGGACGGGUGAUUAAUACGUGGCUAACCUACCUUUAAGACUGGGAUAACUUCGGGAAACCUGAUCUAAUAUCGGUUAAUAUUUUGAACCUCAUGGUUCUUAAGUGCAAGCCGUUCUUGCUGUCACUUAUAGAUGUAUCCUCGCUGCAUUAGCUAGUUGGUAAGGUAACGGCUUACCAAGGCAACGAUGCAUAGCCGACCUGAGAGGGUGAUCGGCCACACUGGAACUGAGACACGGUCCAGACUCCUACGGGAGGCAGCAGUAGGGAAUAUUCCGCAAUGGGCGAAAGCCUGACGGAGCAACGCCGCGUGAGUGAUGAAGGUCUUCGGAUCGUAAAACACUGUAAGUUGGGAAGAACAUAUGUGAAAGUAAAUGUGCACAUCUUGACGGUACCAAAACAGAAAGCAACGGCUAACUACGUG
rnacentral:rRNA from 1 species